rnacentral:rRNA from 1 species
GACGAACGCUGGCGGCGUGCUUAACACAUGCAAGUCGAACGGAAAGGCCCCGCCUUUGUGGGGUGCUCGAGUGGCGAACGGGUGAGUAACACGUGAGUAACCUGCCCUUGACUUUGGGAUAACUUCAGGAAACUGGGGCUAAUACCGGAUAGGAGCUCCUGCUGCAUGGUGGGGGUUGGAAAGUUUCGGCGGUUGGGGAUGGACUCGCGGCUUAUCAGCUUGUUGGUGGGGUAGUGGCUUACCAAGGCUUUGACGGGUAGCCGGCCUGAGAGGGUGACCGGCCACAUUGGGACUGAGAUACGGCCCAGACUCCUACGGGAGGCAGCAGUGGGGAAUAUUGCACAAUGGGCGGAAGCCUGAUGCAGCAACGCCGCGUGCGGGAUGACGGCCUUCGGGUUGUAAACCGCUUUCGCCUGUGACGAAGCGUGAGUGACGGUAAUGGGUAAAGAAGCACCGGCUAACUACGUG